CGGCAAAAGCUCAAAUUUGAAAUCUGGCACCUUCGGUGUCCGAGUUGUAAUUUGAAGAUUGUAACCUUGGGGUUGGCUCUUGUCUAUGUUUCUUGGAACAGGACGUCACAGAGGGUGAGAAUCCCGUGCGAUGAGAUGCCCAAUCCUAUGUAAGGUGCUUUCGAAGAGUCGAGUUGUUUGGGAAUGCAGCUCUAAGUGGGUGGUAAAUUCCAUCUAAAGCUAAAUAUUGGCGAGAGACCGAUAGCGAACAAGUACAGUGAUGGAAAGAUGAAAAGAACUUUGAAAAGAGAGUGAAAAAGUACGUGAAAUUGUUGAAAGGGAAGGGUUUGAGAUCAGACUCGAUAUUUUGUGAGCCUUGCCUUCGUGGCGGGGUGACCCGCAGCUUAUCGGGCCAGCAUCGGUUUGGGCGGUAGGAUAAUGGCGUAGGAAUGUGACUUUGCUUCGGUGAAGUGUUAUAGCCUGCGUUGAUGCUGCCUGCCUAGACCGAGGACUGCGAUUUUAUCAAGGAUGCUGGCAUAAUGAUCCCAAACCGCCCGUCUUGAAACACGGACCA
rnacentral:rRNA from 1 species